ACUCAAUAGAUACCCGGGUAGUCCACGCCCUAAACGAUGUCUACUAGUUGUCGGGUUUUAAUUAACUUGGUAACGCAGCUAAACGCGUGAAAGUAGACCGCCUGGGGAGUACGGUCGCAAGAUUAAAACUCAAAGGAAUUGGCGGGGACCCGCACAAGCGGUGGAUGAUGUGGAUUAAUUCGAUGCAACGCGAAAAAACCUUACCUACCCUUGACAUGUACGGAAGCCACGAGAGAUCGAGGUGUGCUCGAAAGAGAGCCGUAACACAGGUGCUGCAUGGCUGUCGUCAGCUCGUGUCGUGAGAUGUUGGGUUAAGUCCCGCAACGAGCGCAACCCUUGUCAUUAGUUGCUACGAAAGGGCACUCUAAUGAGACUGCCGGUGACAAACCGGAGGAAGGUGGGGAUGACGUCAAGUCCUCAUGGCCCUUAUGGGUAGGGCUUCACACGUCAUACAAUGGUACAUACAGAGGGCCGCCAACCCGCGAGGGGGAGCUAAUCCCAGAAAGUGUAUCGUAGUCCGGAUUGUAGUCUGCAACUCG
rnacentral:rRNA from 1 species